rnacentral:rRNA from 1 species
GACGAACGCUGGCGGCGUGCUUAACACAUGCAAGUCGAACGAUGACGACCGAGCUUGCUCGGUCUGAUUAGUGGCGAACGGGUGAGUAACACGUGAGCAACCUGCCCUUCACUCUGGGAUAACCUCGGGAAAUCGGGGCUAAUACCGGAUAUGAGCUCCUGUCGCAUGGCGGGGGUUGGAAAGUUUUUCGGUGAAGGAUGGGCUCGCGGCCUAUCCGUUUGUUGGUGAGGUAGUGGCUCACCAAGGCGAUGACGGGUAGCCGGCCUGGGAGGGCGACCGGCCACACUGGAACUGGGACGCGGCCCAGACCCCUACGGGAGGCAGCAGUGGGGAAUAUUGCACAAUGGGCGAAGGCCUGAUGCAGCGACGCCGCGUGGGGGAUGACGGCCUUCGGGUUGUAAACCUCUUUCAGCAGGGAAGAAGCGAAAGUGACGGUACCGGCAGAAGAAGCGCCGGCUAACUACGU